CACGUGGCGCUUCGAAGCAUCGUUCCCGUGUUGUGUCCACGCGUUCGCGAUCGCGUUUCCGCGCGUCUUCGCGUUUCCGAGCGUCUUCGCGUUCCCGCUCCGACUCAGGUGUAGCAGGUGGCCGGGGACCCGAAAGAGGGCGAUCCACGCCUAGUCGGGACGAAGCUAGAGAAAACUCUGGUGGAAGUCCGAAGCGCAUCUGACGUGCAAAUCGAUCGUUGAAACCGGGUGUGGGGGCAAAAGACCAAUUGAGCCGUCUAAUACCUGGUUCCCUCCGAAAUUUCCCUCAGGACAGCUGGCGCCAACGGGAGAACGACACGCAAUUCCGUCGGGUAAAGCAAACGACUGGAGGCCCCAGGUUCGUUGACAGCCGCGAUCUACUCUCGAACUCAGAACGGGCGAAACGGGCCGCUCCUCUAUCGAUUAAAGGUGGCCGUAUAUCGCAGCCAUUGCAACGAGACAAAUGCACGGUGCCAAGUAGCUCACUUUUGGUAAGCAGAACUUGUGAUGUAGGAUGAACCGAACGUCCGGCUAAGUUGCCCCAAGCUUCGCCCAUUAGAUCCCCGAAAGGGAGUCGAUCGAUAUAGACAGCAGACCGUGGCCACGGAAGUCGGAAUCCGCUCAGAAGUGUGUAACAACUUACUGCCAAAUCGACCGGCCCCGAAAAUAGAUGGCGCUGAAGCGAGCGGUCGAUGCCGAACCGGCCGGGCGGCAGGUUGCGCGAUUACAGGCGAGGCUACUUUCCGAUCCUCGGUAGAGUAGGAGGGCACCGCGGCGUGCAUGGAAGCCGUGGGCGCGAGCCCGGAUGAAACCGACCGUGGGUGCAGAUCUCGGUGGUACUAGCAAAUAUCCGAACGAGACCUUCGAAGACAGAAGCGGAAAAGGGUUCCAUGCCAACGGCGGUCGGGAACAGAUCAGUCAGUUCUAAGAAGUGGGCGAAAGCUUUCACGAAAGGCGCCUGAUCCGUCAUUGUUGUUGUUGACAGUGCACGCACGCACGCACGCACGCAAGCGGCCGGCUUCGCUUCGAAAGGGAAUCGGGUUAAAAUUGCCCAACCCGAAAUCGGAGAAUUCCCGUCCGGCGGCGGGAACGCAGCGUGCUCCUAGCAGCGCGUCCAUCGUCGAAGCCGGCGCCCGGGCGAAGCAGCGGCAACUCAAGUGAGUCUGGAGAUGUUGCCGGGAGCCCCGGGAAGAGUUCUCUCUUCUUCGUAAAGGACCGCACCCGUGGAGUAGGCUCCACCGGAGAUACGGAUAUGAUGCCUGUAGAGCGCCGCGCCUCAGGUGGUGUCCGGUUCGCUCUCGGAAGCCCUAGAAAAUUCGGGUCCGAAACGAUUCGCAGCUCUCGUAUUCACCAACCAUAGCAGGUCUCUAAGGUGUACAGCCUCACGUCGAUAGCGCCAAUGUACGUAAGGGAAGUCAGCAAAAUGGAUCCGUAACUUCGGAAGAAGGAUUGGCUCCGAGGACCUGGUCGCUCGGGCCGUGUGUGUCGCUGUGCACCCGCGCGGCCGCGUUGCCGUUCGCUCGGCGUCACGCCACCAGGCGCCGGAACACGUCUUCACGCGAAGCGGCGGACCGGUACGGAGCUGUAGCGUUGGCGUCGGACUCGGCAUUCCCUGGUGCCACGGACGAGAUCGCGAUCCAACAAUUCUUAAGAGUUUACCGGUAACUCCGAACCCAAAUGCAGCAGAAGGAUGUUCACUGGCAGAAUUAAUGUUUGCCAGAAAGGUGAAGUCAGUAUUCGAUAAACUGUUACCAGUGAAGAAAAAAAUACGUGCUAAUAAAGACAUGCCAAAAUUCUUCAGAAACGGUAAUAAGGUACAUUGUAAGAAUGUGUAAAAAUGGCAAGCAAUACUUGAAGGGGAAAUUGU
rnacentral:ncRNA from 1 species